rnacentral:tRNA from 1 species
GUUCUCGUGGUUGAAGGUUCGUACAACGACAGUUUUUCAAGCUGUAGAUCUUGGGUGGAGACCAAGCGAGAAUA